rnacentral:rRNA from 1 species
AGAGUUUGAUCAUGGCUCAGGACGAACGCUGGCGGCGUGCUUAACACAUGCAAGUCGAACGAUGAACCGCUUUCGGGCGGGGAUUAGUGGCGAACGGGUGAGUAACACGUGGGCAAUCUGCCCUGCACUCUGGGACAAGCCCUGGAAACGGGGUCUAAUACCGGAUAUGACCGUCUGCCGCAUGGUGGAUGGUGUAAAGCUCCGGCGGUGCAGGAUGAGCCCGCGGCCUAUCAGCUUGUUGGUGAGGUAGUGGCUCACCAAGGCGACGACGGGUAGCCGGCCUGAGAGGGCGACCGGCCACACUGGGACUGAGACACGGCCCAGACUCCUACGGGAGGCAGCAGUGGGGAAUAUUGCACAAUGGGCGAAAGCCUGAUGCAGCGACGCCGCGUGAGGGAUGACGGCCUUCGGGUUGUAAACCUCUUUCAGCAGGGAAGAAGCGAAAGUGACGGUACCUGCAGAAGAAGCGCCGGCUAACUACGUGCCAGCAGCCGCGGUAAUAC